rnacentral:rRNA from 1 species
ACGCGAUAGUAGACGCCUGGGAGUACGGUCGCAAGAUUAAACUCAAAUGAAUUGACGGGGCCGCACAACGUGGACAUGUGGUUUAAUUCGAGCCAACGCGAAAACCUUACCUGGUCUUGACUACCUGCGAACUUCUAGAGUAGAUUAGGUGCCUUCGGGAACGCAGUGACAGGUGCUGCAUGGCUGUCGUCAGCUCGUGUCCGUGAGAUGUUGGGUUAAGUCCCGUAACGAGCGCAACCCUUGUCCUUAUUUGCCAGCACGUAAUGGUGGGAACUCUAAGGAGACUGCCGGUGACAAACCGGAGGAAGGUGGGGACGACGUCAAGUCAUCAUGGCCCUUAUGACCAGGGCUACACACGUGCUACAAUGGAGCGUACAGAGGGUUGCUAAGCCGCAAGGUGGAGCCAAUCCCAGAAAACGUUUCGUAGUCCGGAUCGAAGUCUGCAACUCGACUUCGUGAAGUCGGAAUCGCUAGUAAUCGCGAAUCAGCAUGUCGCGGUGAAUACGUUCCCGGGCCUU